rnacentral:rRNA from 1 species
GUAGGUGGCAAGCGUUGUCCGGAAUUAUUGGGCGUAAAGCGCGCGCAGGCGGUUCUUUAAGUCUGAUGUGAAAGCCCACGGCUCAACCGUGGAGGGUCAUUGGAAACUGGAGAACUUGAGUACAGAAGAGGAAAGCGGAAUUCCACGUGUAGCGGUGAAAUGCGUAGAGAUGUGGAGGAACACCAGUGGCGAAGGCGGCUUUCUGGUCUGUAACUGACGCUGAGGCGCGAAAGCGUGGGGAGCAAACAGGGAUUAGAUACCCUGGCAGUCCACGCCGUAAACGAUGAGUGCUAAGUGUUAGGGGGGUUUCCGCCCCCCUUAGUGCUGCAGCUAACGCAUUAAGCACUCCGCCUGGGAGUACGGCCGCAAGGCUG